AAGUCUCUUCGGAGAUGAGUACAGCGGCGAACGGGUGAGUAACACGUAAGAAUCUACCCUUCAGUGAGGAAUACCCUCGAGAAAUCGAGGUUAAUACUGCAUACGUCCCUUCGGGGAGAAAGAUGGCCUCUUUGCUAUCGCUGAGGGAGGAGCUUGCGCACUAUUAGCUAGUUGGUGGGGUAAAGGCCUACCAAGGCAAUGAUGGUUAGCCGGCCUGAGAGGGUGUUCGGCCACACUGGAACUUAGACACGGUCCAGACUCCUACGGGAGGCAGCAGUGAGGAAUCUUGCACAAUGGGCGAAAGCCUGAUGCAGCGACGCCGCGUGGAGGAUGAAGGUUUUCGGAUCGUAAACUCCUGUUAAGUGGGAAGAAAUGUCUGUUCCUAAUAUGAGCAGAUUAUGACGGUACCAUUAGAGAAAGCACCGGCUAACUUCAUGCCAGCAGCCGCGGUAAUACGAGGGGUGCAAGCGUUAUUCGGAAUCAUUGGGCGUACAGGGCGCGUAGACGGCAUAUUAAGUCAACUGUUCAAUUCCCCGGCCUAACCUGGGGGCCAGCGGUAGAUACUGAUGUGCUAGAGGAUGGAAGAGAUAAGUGGAAUUCUCGGAGUAGCGGUAAAAUGCGUAGAUCUCUAGAGGAACACCGAUGGCAAAGCCAGCUUCUUGGUCCAUACCUGACGUUGAGGC
rnacentral:rRNA from 1 species